GACGAACGCUGGCGGCGUGCUUAACACAUGCAAGUCGAACGGUGACCCUCGGAGCUUGCUUCGGGGUGAGCAGUGGCGAACGGGUGAGUAACACGUGAGUAACCUGCCCCUGACUCUGGAAUAAGCGCUGGAAACGGCGUCUAAUACCGGAUACGACACGCCUCCGCAUGGGGAGCGUGUGGAAAGUUUUUCGGUCUGGGAUGGACUCGCGGCCUAUCAGCUUGAUGGUAAGGUAAUGGCUCACCAAGGCGAUGACGGGUAGCCGGCCUGAGAGGGCGACCGGCCACACUGGGACUGAGACACGGCCCAGACUCCUACGGGAGGCAGCAGUGGGGAAUAUUGCACAAUGGGCGAAAGCCUGAUGCAGCGACGCCGCGUGAGGGAUGACGGCCUUCGGGUUGUAAACCUCUUUCAGCAGGGAAGAAGCGAAAGUGACGGUACCUGCAGAAGAAGCACCGGCUAACUACGUGCCAGCAGCCGCGGUAA
rnacentral:rRNA from 1 species